GCCCGGAUGGCGGAAUUGGUAGACGCGCUAGUUUCAGGUACUAGUAGCUUUAUAGCUGUGGAAGUUCAAGUCUUCUUUCGGGCACCA
rnacentral:tRNA from 1 species